UACGUAGGGUGCGAGCGUUAAUCGGAAUUACUGGGCGUAAAGCGUGCGCAGGCGGUGAUGUAAGACCGAUGUGAAAUCCCCGGGCUUAACCUGGGAACUGCAUUGGUGACUGCAUUGCUGGAGUAUGGCAGAGGGGGGUGGAAUUCCACGUGUAGCAGUGAAAUGCGUAGAGAUGUGGAGGAACACCGAUGGCGAAGGCAGCCCCCCGGGCCAAUACUGACGCUCAUGCACGAAAGCGUGGGGAGCAAACAGG
rnacentral:rRNA from 1 species